rnacentral:lncRNA from 1 species
GCUUUCGCAAGCAUUAUAGUGCUUUUAAAAGAUCACACAGUUUUGCUUUUCUGGGUAAGCUUGAAUGCCACUACCAUCAUAUUUAGAUCUGAACACAAUUUGAUUCGAUACCAUUUCAUUUUAUGCAUAUUUAUGGCUUAUCUUUCAGCUUUUGGUUUGAAUGAAAGUUGAAUCGUAGACUCAGUGUUAUUAGUCUAUGUUUGAUAGUUAGAAGUGUGAUGCAACAUUUAGCAAUUUUAUUUUUUACUGUUGUAAGUGUAAUGAGUAUGUUUGAGCCAAUAUAAGGUGAUAUUCUUCCUUAUCAGUUAUUGUUUUUGAAUUCAUGGGGUUGAAACCUACUAUGUCAAAAUGAGUCGAUGCAAUUGUGCUAAGCCGUGAUAUACUUUGAACCAUCGACUUUUGGGUGGUCGAGGAUUUUUCGUCUUUCACUUUGUUCCCCCCUUUUUUUUCAUCUUACAUAAUUGGGCUACACGUUCAUACAAUUCUGAGGCUUUGAUAUACAAAGCUGUAGCUGAACUUUGCAUAUGGCCAUUGGGAUCUUAUUAGUAGAUCAAGAGUUACGGGCUAUACGCACAGCAUUGGUGGUAUAACUUGAAGUCUUAGUGGUGAGAAUGAUGCUUGAAAGAUGGAUUGCAGGCUUGCCAUUGCUCCCAGUCGGCAUGUUUGCAAAUGGAUUAGGUAAAAUAAAAUACUUGCUUUGUUCCUUGUUCACUCCUUUUUUUUUUAUUUUAUUUCCGUUGUUUCAGAUUAAGUAGUUAAGACUUAAGAGCUCUACUACUUCUUAGACGAGAGUCGUUGCCUAUUUCAUGUCUGUUUUUGCUGCUAUAUAUUUUUAAGCUUGUAGAUUAAAGUUUUUAAUCUAUUUACGGCAGUGCAUUGACCUAUCCAUAUAUGUGUGUGUUUCUCUGAUAAAGGUUGAUUUCCUAGUCUUCCCCUUAUAAGUUGUUUACAAGUUAGACUUGAAUGUCUGGUUUUUUAAUUUCAAUGGGCAUUUUCUAUUAUAAGUUAAUAGAUCUGAUCAGAACUCAGUGCCAAGCUCAAAAAAUGUUGUAAGCCAUACUGCCCAUUUCAAGAAUCACAAUUGUUCUUGUUCUUGCUACUUAAAUGCAUGUAAAGCACCCCUCUGAGGAACCAGGUUUGAGUGGCAUUGAUAGCUUUGAAGGUGUGCUAGAUUUGUAUCAGAGGUGAAAAGGCUAAUUUGUUCAUCACUUUCUACUGUGGCAUGAAGAUAACUUGUACAGUGCAGCAAUUCAAUAGCCCAAGGAUGCCUUGACCAGUUUCAAUUACUCCAUGGAUCGUAGUGUCUUCCUUGUUAGUAGAGGGUACGUGCCUGCCAUCAGUGAGUUCAUCACAUUCAACUCCCCCUGUUAAUACGUUCCAUCUUACUCAUUCUCAUUUCUAUAACCUUGAAUAGUUAAAUCAAUUAUGUCACCUUUUUAAUAAUGAGAUGAACACUUGUAUAGCAUUUUCACACUCUUUAGUUGGAAUUUCUUGUACAAUAUGCACCAAGCCAUCAAAUUACUAUAUGUUGUAUAGUGUAUUGAUCUUAUAUAUGGUGUAAGUUUAUAAUGCUUAAGCUGCCCUUCUGCAUAGUGCUUUACAAAAUUAUAAGGCAUGAUGUGAGCAUCUUUACCUAUAAAUUUGGUAUUUAUUCUUAUUGGUGCAACAUUAUAUGAUUAACAGAUAAAAGAGUGGCUUUUGGUAUUUAUUCACUUUUUUGCAGCAGUAUCCUGGAGGCUAUAUCUUAAUUGAGGAUUGCCUAGUAUAUGCAUUCAUAGUGGCAUGUACCCAGCAACACAUUGAUGAAGUAGGAAAUGAGUAGGCAAAAUUUGUUGUUAAAACAUAUAUGUAAGCAGUAGUAUCGCAUCUAGUUAGUGGUUGGUGACUUAUUUUGGUAACCUGGAUUUUACAAGAUAGACAAUAUUAUUACUUGCUAGAUUGAGGUUGUUUUUAGUUACGAUUGCUGGAUUUGAUCAUAUAUGGAUAUGGAUAUGUACUUUUGGAAAUGUUUUGGAUUGACAAUGAUAUGA